GAUGAACGCUGGCGGCGUGCCUAAUACAUGCAAGUCGAGCGAACGGACGAGAAGCUUGCUUCUCUGAUGUUAGCGGCGGACGGGUGAGUAACCGGUGGAAACCUACCUUAAAGAAUGGGGAUACUUUGGGGAACCGGGAGUUAAUACGGGUUAAUUUUUGAAACGGAAGGUUUAAAAGGUGAAAGAGGGUCUUGCGGUACCUUAUGGAGGAUUCCGGGCUUAAUUAGCUAGUUGGUAAGUUAACGGCUUACCAAGGCAACGAUGCAUAGCCGACCUGAGAGGGUGAUCGGCCACACUGGAACUGAGACACGGUCCAGACUCCUACGGGAGGCAGCAGUAGGGAAUCUUCCGCAAUGGGCGAAAGCCUGACGGAGCAACGCCGCGUGAGUGAUGAAGGUCUUCGGAUCGUAAAACUCUGUUAUUAGGGAAGAACAUAUGUGUAAGUAACUGUGCACAUCUUGACGGUACCUAAUCAGAAAGCCACGGCUAACUACGUG
rnacentral:rRNA from 1 species